UUUUCUUUUUUCCCUUUUUUUUUCAAUUUUUUUUAUUGCAUUUCUUUUGAAAAAUAAACAUGUUAUGAUGCACAUGAUGCAGACACGACUGGCAAGCUGUGCAUCUCUGAACACAGGAUCGAAGCUUCGGCUCGAACUCUGAUCACAAUCAUCUGAAACCCAAAGUCAACUGGUCAACUGAACCAUAUCCACAUCUGAGCAUCCUCAAAUUCAGCCCA
rnacentral:lncRNA from 1 species